rnacentral:rRNA from 1 species
AGAGACAGCAGCAGCGCGGGAAUACGGAGGGUGCAAGCGUUAAUCGGAAUUACUGGGCGUAAAGCGCACGCAGGCGGUCUGACAAGUCAGAUGUGAAAUCCCCGGGCUUAACCUGGGAACUGCAUUUGAAACUGUCAGGCUGGAGUCUUGUAGAGGGGGGUAGAAUUCCAGGUGUAGCGGUGAAAUGCGUAGAGAUCUGGAGGAAUACCGGUGGCGAAGGCGGCCCCCUGGACAAAGACUGACGCUCAGGUGCGAAAGCGUGGGGAGCAAACAGGAUUAGAUACCCCAGUAGUCCCUGUCUCUUAUACA